GUUUCCGUAGGUGAAUCCUGCGGGGGGAUCAUUAAAAAAUGAGACCUGAUUUCAAGGUCUAUUAAUAAUCCUAACCCUUUGUGAAUUUGUUUUGUUUUAAUAUGUGUCUUUCCCUGUUUUGUUUGAAGCUUUGUUUAAAAGUUUCGAACCUUCAGGGGAAUGGCAAAACUUUUUUUUAAAAUUAAACUUUUUGUAUUCAUUUGUCUAAAAUUAUAUUUUUAUAAUAUAAAAACAACUUUUGACAAUGGAUCUCUUGGUUCUCGCAACGGAUGAAGAACGCAGCAAAAAUGCGAUAAGUAGUGUGAAUUGCAGAAAUACGUGAAUCAUCGAGAUCUUCGAACGCAUAUUGAAAGCACUUUUUUUGGUUUUACCAAAAAAGUAUGUCUGUUUGAGUAUCAGUAAAUAUUCUCUAUAAAAAACUAUUUGUUUUUAUGGUUACGAGUGUUUUACAACGAUAAACAAGUUGUUUCACUUUAAAUUCUUUGUCUUUUAAAAAAUCAUUAAAAACUGAAUUUUUUUUAAAAUUGGAUAAAAUUUUCCCGUAAAAGGAAUAACCUAAACAAUUUUAAUUUAAAAAUUGGUUUGAUUUCUUUUAAGACUUCAAAGGAAAAAAAAGUAAAAAAUUAACUUGAUCUCAAAUCAGAUAAGAGCACCCGACUGAACUUAAGCAUAUCAAUAAGCGGAGGAAAAGAAACUAACUAGGAUUCCCUCAGUAACGGCGAGUGAAGCGGGAAGAGCUCAAAUUUGAAAUCUUCAAGGUUCUACCUUGACGAAAUUGUAGUUUAAAGAAGUGUUUUCUGUUGGAGUUUUGGUAAAAGUUCUUUGGAAUAGGACAUCAUAGAGGGUAGAAUCCCGUAUUUGACCAUUAUUUCCAACUUUGUGAUACACUUUCAAAGAGUCGGAUUGUUUGGGAAUGCAGUCCAAAAUGGGUGGUAAAUUUUCAUCUAAAGCUAAAUACUGGCGAGAGACCGAUAGCGAAGACAAGUACCGUGAGGGAAAGAUGAAAAGAACUUUGAAAAGAGAGUUAAACAGUACGUGAAAUUGUCAAAAGGGAAGCGUUUGACACCAGUGUUGUUUUCUCGAAAAUCAAUUAAAAAUGGCGGGAUUUUGUGUUGUAUUGACUUUUAUCAGCUUUCUGCACUUUUUUCCUGUCUUUUUUAAUGCACUUUUCGUUUAACAAGUCAACAUCCAAUUUCUUUUGUUGUAAAAGGGUCAUUGGAAGGUGGCUUUCUUUUCGAGAAGUGUUUAUAGCCUUUGGCCUCUGCAAUCGGAGAGAUUGAGGUCUGCAGCGUAGAUCCUUCGGGGUUAGAUGCAUUUGUGCUAAGCUAUAGCCUUUCAUAGACAACUUGUUGACUAUGAUCAGUCAUGUAGCUUACUCGCUUAUGUCAUUUUACCUACGCUUAGGAUGUU
rnacentral:misc_RNA from 1 species